UAUUUUUGGUGUUAUACCACAUUUUCCACUAUACCAUGUUUGAAAAGAGAACUCAUAAAACAGAGAUAUGAUACCCUUUCUUUAUUGGGAAAUGAAAUAAAGAACUGAUUUUUUGUUCAUUAAUAUUGCAUCCUUUCGUAGAUUCAAACGACCAUUAUAAGAUUUGCUACCAGUUGUGUUUCUGCUGAGUGGAAAAAAUUCAUCAAAAACAAGAGGAUGGGAGCUAUUGAGGAGUUGGUGGAAAAAAUUCAUCAGAUUGAGGAGUUGCCACUGCAAGAAUUUCAUGGCCACACUAGUGAUGUCUUGGAUCUGGCCUGGUCCAAAUCUAAUUGUCUUCUUUCAUCAUCGAAGGAUAAAAUUGUUCGUCUAUGGCAAGUGGGCUGCAAUGAAUGUAUUAGUGUUUUCCAACACAAUGACUAUGUGACAUGCAUUUAGUUCAAUCCAGCCAAUGAAAAUUACUUCAUGAGUGGCUCUAUAGACGGAAAAGUUCGAAUUUGGGGAGUGACCGAGAGACAAAUUGUUGAUUGGGCUAAUGUGAGAGAUGUAGUAACUGUUAUAUGUUAUCAUCCAUCGUGCUUGCUAUAGGUUGCUGUGGCGGAUUGGCCGUUCUUCUCUCUCUGCUUAUUCUAUCACAUGUAAGCAAUUCACAUCGUAGGGUUUUUCAUCCCCAAACCUAAUUUAUGACCUUUUAUUUAUGUAUUUAGAUCAAGGUGACAAUGGCAGUGGAUCCUUCUAAUGUUGAAUCUUUUUGGGUUAUUCACUAAUUUGAAAAUUGCUUAUUUAUUUGUUUGUUUGCUAAACAAUAGAAUCAUAUACUUCAAUUCAAUAUUAGUUGGCAAACAUAAUAAUUGUUCUUUUGUUUAAUUUUUUCUCAAAUGUAGUUCGUUUAAGACUAAUUGUUUAUGUUGGUUAUUAAUUUUGACUUUUUUGGGUUUUUAUUAGUUGGUGCACUCUUUUUGAAUUACAUUAGUUGGUGUACUUUGCUUUGCUUUUGUUGAAUUUUUAUUUUUAUGCCAUUGGUAUAUGGUAUGUGACUGUGUGGUGGGGGAGGGGAAAAACAGAGAGUUGUGUGUGGCAGUGUGAUGGGGGAGGGGAAUACAGUGAGGGUGUUGGUUGUGCGACAGGGUGUUGGUUGUUCGUUUGUGUUUGACAUUCACUAGCAUAAGGCACCUAGAAUCCUCAUCUUCAUGUAAUUCGGUAUUUUCAAAAUGCAGCUUCUCUGUUUACUACUAUGUGCAUACCAAUUGGAGCAAUUAUUAUGUUUUUCCUUUUUUAGGCCUCGAGUACUAUUUUAUUUGAUCAAUUGUUCAUAUUUACUCUCUUUAUAUGUUGUCUACUCUAUCUUUAAGCACCAUUAUGUUUCUGCUUUAUAUGGACUUUGAAGGAAGCAAUGGAGCAACCUAAGGUUGUGGGUAUUCAUUCGUCUUCAUAUUGCUGGCCCUGUUUGGAUAUUCAG